ACCGAUGAAGAGUGUCAUCCCUGCUGAAACGGGGUCGAUGAUGAGGUAUAGUCCCCACCUGAGG
rnacentral:snoRNA from 16 species